GAUGAACGCUGGCGGCGUGCUUAACACAUGCAAGUCGAACGAUGAUCCGGUGCUUGCACCGGGGAUUAGUGGCGAACGGGUGAGUAACACGUGAGUAACCUGCCCUUAACUCUGGGAUAAGCCUGGGAAACUGGGUCUAAUACCGGAUAUGACUCCUCAUCGCAUGGUGGGGGGUGGAAGGCUUUUGUGGUUUUGGAUGGACUCGCGGCCUAUCAGCUUGUUGGUGAGGUAAUGGCUCACCAAGGCGACGACGGGUAGCCGGCCUGAGAGGGGGACCGGCCACACUGGGACUGAGACACGGCCCAGACUCCUACGGGAGGCAGCAGUGGGGAAUAUUGCACAAUGGGCGGAAGCCUGAUGCAGCGACGCCGCGUGAGGGAUGACGGCCUUCGGGUUGUAAACCUCUUUCAGUAGGGAAGAAGCGAAAGUGACGGUACCUGCAGAAGAAGCGCCGGCUAACUACGUGCCAGCAGCCGCAGUAAAAC
rnacentral:rRNA from 1 species